GAGGGUAUAGCUCAAGUGGUAGAGCACCUUCUUAGCAUGCGUGAGUUCCUGGGUUCAAUCCCCAGUACCUCCA
rnacentral:tRNA from 1 species